GCACUCCUGAUCUCUCUCUCUCUCUCGAUUCUCUCUUUACGAUCUCGUUUUCUCAUUCCUCUCUCUCUCUCUCUACGUGCUUCUCUUACCCCCACAAAUUCUUCCUGUCAGGUUCUCUAUUAACACUGCAUUACCUCCUUGUUUGUUUCUCGAGAAACUUUUUUUUAAUUCUCGAGUGAAAAAAGAAAGCUAAUUUAUUCUUUUCAACUGUAUAGCUGUCGAUUAUUUUAUUCGUUUUUUUAUUUUUUCAAUUCUUCGCCACUGAAUCUGCUCAGAGAAAACAAUUGUAGUUUUGCCGCUACUCUCGGUGUACAAAUGGAGCCGUAGAUACGCAACGAUAGAGAGAAGUAAAAGCUUAUAUUUUUUUCCUUAUGAGCUGGUAAACCUCCGAUCUUGGCUCUCUCGAAGGAUUUUUCCGUUCUCUGAACCCUAGGGUCGCUCCGCAGCAAUGCACGGCUACAGCCGCCUCGGAACCGGGCGGUCCAAUGCGACGCCGCCGUCUUCGCCGCCGUCCUCGCCGCGGUUCCGCCACGGCCGGGGCAAGAACAGCGGUGGCCGGGCCACGAAGCAGAGAAUGGUGGAGAGACUGGUUUUCAUGCUUGUGUCAGCGGUGUUUCGACGGAAAGGCGUGCUUUUGUUUGCUCCACUCCUGUACAUUUCUGGAAUGCUCUUGUACAUGGGCUCGUUGGGCUUCGACGUGGUUAGUUUGAAGAAUACUGUUGGCGUCGUCGUGCAUAAGCGCACGCCGCCGGGCUCGGUUUAUAGGAGUCCUCAGGUUUUUGAGAAGCUCUGGCCUUUCAUGGAGGCCGAGAACAAUGGAAGAGCAAACGCGAAAAUACUGUACUUUGGAAUCAUGCAGUUGAUGAUGGCAUGGAAUUCAAGUGUGCAUCAAGGUUGGAAGCCUUGUGUUGACAAGAUUAUUUCAAAAACAGAAUUGCCAAAGUCAAGCGGUUUUCUAAUAAUUGAAGCUAAUGGUGGGUUGAAUCAACAACGUUUAUCGAUAUGUGAUGCAGUUGCGGUUGCUGGAUUGCUAAAUGCAACACUCUUCAUUCCAAUUUUCCAUUUAAACAGUGUCUGGAGAGAUUCCAGCAAGUUUGGUGAUAUAUUUGAUGAAGAUUUCUUCAUAAACGCACUCAAAAGUCGUGUUGAUGUGGUGAAAGAGCUCCCAGAAGAAAUACGUCAGCGGUUUGACAAUAAUAUAAGUAACAUUGUCAAUUUGAGAGUAAAAGCUUGGUCAAGUCCAACUCACUAUCUCCAGAAGGUCCUUCCUAAGCUGGUGCAGAUGGGGGUUGCACGCAUUGCACCCUUCUCCAACAGAUUGGCUCAGGCAGUUCCUGCAAACGUGCAAAGCCUUAGAUGCUUAGCUAAUUAUGAAGCACUAAGGUUUUCCGAACCUAUAAGAAUGCUUGCAGAGAACAUGGUUGAUCGGAUGGUUAAAAAUAGCUCCCAGAGUGGGGGUAAAUACGUUUCAGUGCAUCUACGUUUUGAAGAGGAUAUGGUUGCAUUUUCAUGCUGUGAAUAUGAUGGUGGGGAGGAGGAGAAACGAGAAAUGGACAUUGCACGAGAAAGAAGUUGGAGAGGAAAAUUCAGAAGAAGGGGUCGAGUAAUAAGGCCCGGUGCAAAUCGGGUGGAUGGAAAAUGCCCUUUAACUCCAUUGGAGGUCGGAAUGAUGCUCAGGGGCAUGGGUUUUGAUAAUACCACCUCAGUCUUUGUUGCUGCAGGAAAAAUUUAUAGAGCAGAAAAAUAUAUGGCUCCGCUUAAGCAGAUGUUUCCACGUUUAGAAACGAAAGACACUUUAGCUACGCCUGAAGAACUUGCUCCAUUUAAGGGCCAUUCAUCUAGGUUGGCUGCUCUGGAUUACACAGUGUGUCUUCACAGUGAAGUAUUUGUCACAACUCAGGGUGGAAAUUUUCCCCACUUCUUGAUGGGUCACAGGCGAUAUUUAUAUGGAGGACAUGCAAAAACAAUCAAACCCGAUAAGAGAAAAUUAGCACUAUUAUUUGAUAGUCCCAACAUCAGUUCUUUUAGAUGGGAAGACUUCAGGAUGCAGAUGCAAGACAUGCUUCGCCACAGUGAUCAUAAGGGAGUGGAAAUGAAGAAGCCCAGCGGGUCACUCUACACCUUUCCCAUGCCAGAUUGCAUGUGUAAACAAGCAGAACCAAGAAAUGAAAACAGUAACACGACUGGACUUGUUUGAAACUCUGAUUAUACAAAUACCUAGGCUUUACAAAUGUAAUUUUUUUUAUACCUGUAUUUUAUAUUUGUAUAAUUCAAUUUAAUUCUUCAAUUAUUCUUUCAUUUAAGCUGACAGGAGAGUCUCCGAGGUUUUGAUUCUUUGAUCACCUCUGCAGAAUUGAGUUGAAUCAACAAGAAUGGGCAGCCGAGGGAACCCAAGGCCCACAACGAAGAAAUGAGUCACUCACUCCUAUUUGCCAGAGUCCAGG